CCCGAAGAGCCGCUGUUACACACUCUUAAGCUACACACAGCUCCCAGUGUUUAUGAAGUGGAGGUGUGAGGCAAAGAUGUCACGUCUCUUAGAUUCUCUGUUUUCCUGUACGUAGUCCUACCAUCAUCCCCACUUCCAAAGUGGGGCCUGAGGAAGGAACAAAAGAAAAUGAGUCCGUUUACUCUACCAUCGUUAUCCAAAAAUCACUGAAAUUAUGUUUACUAAAUGAUGCCUUAACUGAUCAGCUUGGAGAACUCAGAGGUUGAUUGAUCCAUGGUUAAAUCAUACCAGUCUAUAGAUCACCCCGAGCCCUGUCGUAAACCCUUGCUGGCACUUGUAGAUGUAGAGAAAAUCCCUGGCCUUUCAGAAAUAGCCGGUUUCAGCUAUUUUGAGAAGUAUAUAUAGUUUUCAUCCACAUUCCUGGGCUCAAGAGAAGUUUCUGGAGGAAAUUAUGAAGAAUUGAGAGUACUGUGUGUUCUGUGGAGGUGUGCAUGGAGAUCUUGUCUGCAGAAGAUUUGGAAAGAGCCUUCUGUUGUCAAAUUUCCUUGUUACAGAACUACAAGCUCGGCAUAUCUUCUGGUAA